AGGGGUGUAUUUAAAUUAAAAUCUUACAAAAAAGGAUGUAUCCAAAUGAAUGUUUAUGUUUUAAAAAGAGAGAUAUAAGUUUUAAUGAAAAUAUAAUUUAUUUGAUAUAAGAUUUAAAUUAGAAUCUUACAAAAUAAUCUUUUAAUUUAAUUGAUUUAUAUAUGAAAAUAUUAAGUUGGAAUUGCAGAGGUCUUGGAAGUCAUUGGACAAUAAGUUAUCUUCGGGAAACAUGGCAUAAACAUAAACC
rnacentral:lncRNA from 1 species